UGGGGAAUAUUGGACAAUGGGCGAAAGCCUGAUCCAGCCAUGCCGCGUGUGUGAAGAAGGUCUUCGGAUUGUAAAGCACUUUAAGUUGGGAGGAAGGGCAGUAAGCGAAUACCUUGCUGUUUUGACGUUACCGACAGAAUAAGCACCGGCUAACUCUGUGCCAGCAGCCGCGGUAAUACAGAGGGUGCAAGCGUUAAUCGGAAUUACUGGGCGUAAAGCGCGCGUAGGUGGUUCGUUAAGUUGAAUGUGAAAGCCCCGGGGUCAACCUGGGAACUGCAUCCAAAACUGGCGAGCUAGAAUAGGGCAGAGGGUGGGGGAAAUUCCUGUGUAGCGGUGAAAAGCGUAGAUAUAGGAAGGAACACCAGGGGCGAAGGCGACCACCUGGGCUCAUACUGACACUGAGGUGCGAAAGCGUGGGGAGCAAACAGG
rnacentral:rRNA from 1 species